rnacentral:misc_RNA from 1 species
UGGCUCUAGCAUCGAUGAAGAACGCAGCGAAACGCGAUAAGUAAUGUGAAUUGCAGAAUUCAGUGAAUCAUCGAAUCUUUGAACGCACAUGGCGCCUUUCAGUAUCCUGGGAGGCAUGCCUGUCCGAGCGUCGUUUCAACCCUCGAGCCCCCUUUAGGGGGCCCGGCGUUGGGGUUCCACGCCUGGCGUGGUCCCUGAAAACCAGCGGCGGACCCGUGGCGGCCCUUCCCUUGCGCAGUAGCUUACGCCUCGCAUCGGGAGCCCCCGGGCUUCUUGCCGUCAAAACCCCCUACAAGCCCGCCUAGUGCGGCACAAGGUUGACCUCGGAUCAGGUAGGAAUACCCGCUGA